GAUGAACGCUGGCGGCGUGCCUAAUACAUGCAAGUCGAGCGAACAGACGAGGAGCUUUCUCCUCUGACGUUAGCGGCGGACGGGUGAGUAACACGUGGAUAACCUACCUAUAAGACUGGGAUAACUUCGGGAAACCGGAGCUAAUACCUGAUAAUAUAUUUAACUGCAUGGUUCAAUAGUGAAAGACGGUUUUGCUGUCACUUAUAGAUGGAUCCGCGCCGCAUUAGCUAGUUGGUAAGGUAACGGCUUACCAAGGCAACGAUGCGUAGCUGACCUGAGAGGAGGAGAAGCCACACUAGAACUGAGACACGACCCAGACUACACUGGGAGGGAGGGGUAGGGAAUGUUACACAAUGGGCGAAAGGCUGACGGAGACAAGCCGCGUGAGUGAUGAAGGUCUGCGGAUAGUAGAACUAUGUUAUUAGGAAAGAACAAAAGUGUAAGUAACGAGGCACGUCUUGACGGUACCUAAUCAGAAAGCCACGGCUAACUACGUG
rnacentral:rRNA from 1 species